rnacentral:rRNA from 1 species
UGGGGAAUAUUGCACAAUGGGCGAAAGCCUGAUGCAGCAACGCCGCGUGAGUGAUGAAGGUUUUCGGAUCGUAAAACUCUGUUGGUAGAGAAGAACGUUGGUGAGAGUGGAAAGCUCAUCAAGUGACGGUAACUACCCAGAAAGGGACGGCUAACUACGUGCCAGCAGCCGCGGUAAUACGUAGGGUGCAAGCGUUAUCCGGAAUUAUUGGGCGUAAAGAGCUCGUAGGCGGUUUGUCGCGUCUGGUGUGAAAGUCCAUCGCUUAACGGUGGAUCUGCGCCGGGUACGGGCAGGCUGGAGUGCAGUAGGGGAGACUGGAAUUCCCGGUGUAACGGUGGAAUGUGUAGAUAUCGGGAAGAACACCAAUGGCGAAGGCAGGUCUCUGGGCUGUUACUGACGCUGAGGAGCGAAAGCGUGGGGAGCGAACAGGAUUAGAUACCCUGGUAGUCCACGCCGUAAACGGUGGAUGCUGGAUGUGGGGCCCAUUCCACGGGUUCCGUGUCGGAGCUAACGCGUUAAGCAUCCCGCCUGGGGAGUACGGCCGCAAGGCUA